rnacentral:rRNA from 1 species
GACGAACGCUGGCGGCGUGCUUAACACAUGUAAGUCGAACGGUAAGGCCCUUCGGGGUACACGAGUGGCGAACGGGUGAGUAACACGUGGGUGAUCUGCCCUGCACUUCGGGAUAAGCCUGGGAAACUGGGUCUAAUACCGGAUAGAACCACUGCCUGCAUGGGUGGUGGUGGAAAGCUUUUGCGGUGUGGGAUGGGCCCGCGGCCUAUCAGCUUGUUGGUGGGGGGAUGGCCUACCAAGGCGACGACGGGUAGCCGGCCUGAGGGGGUGACCGGCCACACUGGGACUGAGAUACGGCCCAGACUCCUACGGGAGGCAGCAGUGGGGAAUAUUGCACAAUGGGCGCAAGCCUGAUGCAGCGACGCCGCGUGAGGGAUGACGGCCUUCGGGUUGUAAACCUCUUUCAGCACCGACGAAGCGCAAGUGACGGUAGGUGCAGAAGAAGGACCGGCCAACUACGUGCCAGCCGCCGCCGUAA